CGGCGGUGAUUUGAAUUGCGCUACCAGGGACGCCGAGACUGACUGAUGCCUGAAACGAGCCGUUUCUUUAGCAUGCCCAGGGCGACGAACUUUUUCAGGCGCAACUACCUGUCCUGCCUCUGCUUGUGGAAGUUCGUUGCAUCACAUCUUCUCACACCCCCCACUCAACUUUCUCCAGAAUUCCGCUGGAGGGAUCAUGGCCUUCUCGCCUAAAGAAGCCUCUGUUGUCCAGGACGGAGUGGAACAUGCUCCCGAUCUACCCGGAAAUCGCCUGACUUCCGCG
rnacentral:misc_RNA from 1 species